UCGCUCAGGCUGAGAGAGAGCGACAGAGAGGAACAUAAUUUAACAAUGGCAGCAACCAGAGAGUCCAUCAAGGGAAACGGCGCUUCUAUCCAAGGUGCAUUGUUCCGUGACCGAUGCUGACGGAGUUGGUGGAAGAAGGGUCAGCACAGAGCUACAUGCACUACAUUUCUUGAAGGACAGUUUUGGAAAUCCUCGAAGACCAUGGUUAUGACGUGGCUGACUCAGAGCUCACUCGCUGAGUUCCGUUCUGUUUUUGGAAAUAGCUUUAACAUUGAUAGCCUCUGCUUAUCUGUUUCUCUCCGUUCCAAUCGACACAAGAAGGAGACGUUGCUUGGUGAAUUGCUAAAAAGUCUUGAGCCUGCAAAAACAGCAGUGCAGGCCAUACAAAAAUGAUGAAGGAAAGGACUGUCUUCAAAUUGAGUUUUGGGGGACCAAAGGUCCAAAACCUGGAUGGCUUUUUUUUUCCCUCGAUUAAAGUUUUCUUGAAAAUCUCUUGCUUGUAGUAACAUGUAAAGUUGGAAUUAUGAUACGAGAGCAGCUCUUGUUUAAGUACAUUCUAUUAGGCAAAAGUUGUAUGGAAAUUCUGGCCAUAGUCUUUCGGAACUGUGUCUGCAGACCUUUGUCAUCUUCCAGGGAACUGAUGAAAUCAAAACAGCUAAUAUCAGGACUGUUGAUGGUCAAAUUCUUAACAAAGAGAGUCUACAUGAGCUGAUACUGAUCUUGCAAAGUAAAAUGAAGCACUUUGCCAAGAAAGAGCUGGACAAGUUUCCCUUCAAAGUGAAGGUUUUUCAAGUACAUUCCUCUGUAGUCGAAAUAAAUUUUCAUACUUCAGAUUCGUUGUCAGGCCAUUAGGAGUGUCCAGGCAUUUAAAGAAUGAUGCUAAUUUCUUGCUGCUAGAAGCCUUGCUAGUCACUCUUUAAUAAUGUCUGUGAUACUAUUGCUAUUUUAUCAACCGAUAAGCAUUUCCUCUGUA